GGUUUUGGUUAAGAGAAAAAGUUGUUAGAACACAAAGAACAUGCUCACAAGUAUGACAUGGACUGGUUCCAUGUCUUAAUGUUAUUUAUUUGGUGAAUGGAUGUUUUGUGUUCAAGAUGAAGAUGGUUAUCAAGGAGCAAAGCAUAUUGUUUUGAAGUAACAAUGAAGGAAUCCUUUUUCACAACAUUAUGCAGAUACAUAUUAGAAUGCCUAUUGUUACUUCAAAACAAUGGACAAUUCUAACAUGUGUAACACAUUCUAACAUGUUUACAGACCUAUUUUUUAAGGGUGCACCCACGUAACCAAUUCGGUAACCAAUGAAACCAUCAUGUAUUACUUGUGUUAAACACUGUUGUUAUGCGGUUACUUGGUUCAUAUUAUUUGACAAUGAUUCCCAUGUGUUGCAUAUACUUUUGUAACUUGUGUUACAAAUCACAUGUACUAGCAUGUUUGGAUGUAUACACGUUACAUAUACCAAGUGUUUUU